UACAGAGGUCCCGAGCGUUGUUCGGAUUCAUUGGGCGUAAAGGGUGCGUAGGUGGCGCUGUAAGUGGGGUGUGAAAUCCCGGGGCUUAACCCCGGGACUGCAUUCCAUACUGCGGUGCUUGAGGACUGGAGAGGAGACUGGAAUUUACGGUGUAGCAGUGAAAUGCGUAGAUAUCGUAAGGAAGACCAGUGGCGAAGGCGGGUCCCUGGACAACACCUGACACUGAGGCACGAAAGCUAGGGGAGCAAACAGG
rnacentral:rRNA from 1 species